GCCUACAACAUAGCUUUAAUGCACCAUAUCUCAUUAGAACUCCGUAGUUAAGCACGCUUAGGCUAGAGUAGUACUGGGAUGGGUGACCGCAUGGGAAGUCCUAGUGUUUUAGAUU
rnacentral:rRNA from 1 species